CCUACGGGUGGCAGCAGUGAGGAAUAUUGGUCAAUGGACGAGAGUCUGAACCAGCCAAGUAGCGUGAAGGAUGACUGCCCUAUGGGUUGUAAACUUCUUUUAUAUGGGAAUAAAAUGUUCCACGUGUGGGAUUUUGUCUGUACCAUAUGAAUAAGGAUCGGCUAACUCCGUGCCAGCAGCCGCGGUAAUACGGAGGGUCCGAGCGUUAUCCGGAUUUAUUGGGUUUAAAGGGAGCGUAGGUGGAUUGUUAAGUCAGUUGUGAAAGUUUGCGGCUCAACCGUAGAAUUGCAGUUGAAACUGGCAGUCUUGAGUGCAGGAGAGGUAGGCGGAAUUCGUGGUGUAGCGGUGAAAUGCUUAGAUAUCACGAAGAACUCCGAUUGCGAAGGCAGUUCACUGGACUGCAACUGACGCUGAGGCUCGAAAGUGUGGGUAUCAAACAGGAUUAGAUACCCCGGUAGUC
rnacentral:rRNA from 1 species